ACAGAUCGCGUGGGUUCCCUUUCCGUUCGUCCUAUUCUUUUCGCGCCACACCUUUCCUCCUCUUUCUUCUAUUGGCUCCCUGCAAUCACGUGGUCUUCUAGAACUAUUAGUAUUGCGUAUAUUCCCGUCAUUUCGUCAACGGGUUUUUAGUGAAACAGUAUCACGCUGUCGGAGUCUCCCAGUGUUGCCAACAACAUGUACAUUUUACACCAUACUUAUGACGCUCAGAAUGUACAAGAUCUGAAUGUAUUUUGUUGCAGUUACUUUAUUUCUUCUAAAAUUCUAUAUCAUCGUCCAAUAUGUGGGCAACUGACAACUUCCAUCUUCACAUCGGGUCCUUUCCAUACUCCAACAUCUGAGUGAUCUUCAAACUCCUACUGCCUUCAGUGAUGAGAGGGAUCAACUGACAUAUGACAUUUCUGAAGAACAUCUUGAGUCUCAUAAUGAGAAGACACUGAAGAUGACGGACAGCCCAGCUGAAAUCCCUACCUGGACAAGAGAAAUAAAGCAAAUUGAAGCACUUUCAAAUCUGAAGACAAUUGUUUUUCAAAUGAACUCCACCAUUUUGAUAACCUUGGGAGGUGUGCAUUUGAUCAAAGAUUUUACUUUGCCCUAAACUUGAAAAGAUUCCUCUAGCAAUGCAACAAUGGGACUUGUAAUGAAUUCUAGAGUAACUGAGUUUACAACAUCUUGGCUUAAUAGAUGGUUACUUUUAAAAGUUUUUUAUAGUUGCCCUUGCAAAUCCUUUAAAUGGAACAUGAGACUCCUGCAAUGGAUUCUAAGUUGUGAAAUCACCGACAGGAUUCAGGAGUGAACUUCAGCAUGAACUCUAACUAUCAAGAUUGAUUUAUACCAAGACUUGCUGUUCAUAGUUUGUGGAAUGAAAAAAAAAAUGGUUUUGGAGUGUCUGGUGCA